CGCCGUUACCAUGGAAAUUUCAAAAAUUUCAAAAUGCUCCAAAAUUGAUGAAACUUUACGACAAUGUGAAUAGACAUCUGUAAAUGCGGUCUUUGACAUUUGAACUUUCAAAAUGGCUGCCUCUCACCUGGCAAUAGGGGAAGGGUGCCAUCCGCUAUUGCUUGCAAUCGCAAAUCUAGUUAUGGCACCCUCAACGGAGUUGGGGUGACAUAUUGUUAUUGUUCGUUUCUUUUUUUCAUAUUAUUAUUAUGGCACCCUCAACGGAGUUGGGGUGACAUAUUGUUAUUCUACGUUUCUUUUUUUUCUUAUUAUUAUGUCACCCGAUCGACAAUGUCGGGUGACAUAUUGCUUUUCCUCUAUUAUUAUUAUUUUUCUUCCACCUAAUUUUGUCCGGCAGUUUUCUCAGAGCCAAAGGAACCAAUCUAAAUGAUGGUGCACUGUAACAAGGAACCCUGACUUUCCUGUUGCUUUCUGGUAUUGGAACUAAAAAAAUGGCUGCCAUCACCAUGGAAACGGAAAAAUGGUGAAAAAUAUAAUUUUGGAGUUAGGUGAAUUGUUUGAGAAUGCUUAACCUUAAAAUCUUUAGAUUUUAAUACAAUGUAGGUGCCCACUAUAUACUGCAUUGGGAUGAUUUUGGCAAUCA
rnacentral:lncRNA from 1 species